UGAAAAUCCUAUGGCUUGGGAAUUUCCUCAAUCACAGGAAAACUUGAAUAAUUGGCUAACCUAAGUAUAGUUUCUGUUUGUAUUUCAGGUAAUAGAAAUUGACUGUAAAACUCAGAGAUCCCGUUGGUUAAACAGCGGAAUGUCAGGGACCCAGGCCUGUGUCUCCAUCAUGUCACCCUUAGAGUAGGAUUGCUAGAGAAAGUACAGGAUGCCCAGAUGAAUUUCAAGUCAGACACAGGAUGAAUCAUCCUUUAGUACUGGUGAGCCCCCGCUCAGCUGCACCUCACCAGGGGCACAGCUGCACUGGAAAGUGAUGUGUUUGUGUGAAAUUCACAUUUAACUGGGUGUCCUCUUUUUCUCUGUAAGUCUCACAACCUCCUGGUCACAAAGCAGAGGAUUCUUUAGCAGAAAGAACAAGGCCGCCAGUGUGGGAGUCUGACUUCCACAGUACCCCCUUUAUUUCUAGGAUUGGGGGGACCCUCCCACAUCACAACUGGCUCCUGAAGGGAGGUGUACAAGUCAGCACAUCCCACCCACACAGCAAACCUUCCAUUGCCUCAUUCUUAAAUAGGAGUGGAGAAACACACAUUUGAUGAAAGUUUGCGUUAAAGAGAAAUAGAAAAAGUGAUACUGGAGAAAGUAUAAAGUAGCUAAUGCAGGGAAGAGAAUAUAAUUUUUCUUCCUUUUAAUUUGUAGUCCUGGGGAUUGAACCCAGGGCCUUGUACAUGCUAGGCAAGCGCUGUGACACCAAGGUGCAUGGCCAGCCCCGGAAGAGAGCUAAGAAUGAACAUGAAAGGCCAGGCAGUUCAAGCCCAGCCUGGGAAACUUACCGACUAGAGAGACCUUGUCUCAAAACAAAAAAUAAAAAGACUGGGGGCAUAGCUUGAGUAUGAAGCUCCUGGGAUCAGUCCCCAGUGCUAGAAAAAAGUAAUAAGAAAAUUUUAAAAAUAAAAUAAAAUAAUACAGAUAAAGAAACUGGGGAUAUACUCAGCUUAAAUGAGACCAGUGUUCCUCAGCACUACAAUAGAUGAUAGGAUCCAUCGGAGCAAGGCGUAGUGGUGCAUGCCUGCAAUCCCAGCACUUGAGAGAGAGGCUGUGGCAGGAGGAUCACUGUGAGUUUGAGGUCAGCCUGGGCUACAUAGUGAGUUCAAGGCCAGCCUGGACUAUAAAGUGAGACCCUGUCUUAAAAAAAGACCCAUCGGGAGGUAUCUGACAUGAUUCCAUAGGGUGGAAUUGGAGGACUGGGCUAGCAGAACUGCACAGUACCUUGCAAAUGACUCCUAAAUUUGAGAACUGUCUGAAUCCUAGCAUUACCGUUCAUUAGCUGUGUGACAUCAGGAAGCUACUAAACUCUCUCUUCUUUAGUUU
rnacentral:lncRNA from 1 species